GGUUGCGCAGCCGCCGGGGAAGGAGACGCUGCCCUUCCGCAGCGAUGGCAUCCCGGCUCUGUGGAGGGGCCCUCUGGUAUGUGUGUCCCUGUCCUUCUGGGGCGUGGAUGGUGCCUGGGACCCAGCUGGCAACCAGUUGAAGACGUUCUCCUUGGAAGCUCUUGGCCCUGAGGACUUUGCCUGGGGCAUUGGCCCUGCCAUGGCGUUCCGGAGGGCCGAGGGCACGUCUAUGAUCCAGGCCCUGGCCAUGACGGUGGCCGAGAUCCCCGUGUUCCUGUACACGACGUUUGGGCAGUCUGCAUUCUCCCAGCUACGGUUGACGCCAGGCCUGCGGAAAGUCCUCUUUGCCACGGCCCUGGGGACUGUGGCCCUGGCCCUGGCUGCCCACCAGCUGAAGAGGCGACGGAGGAGGAAGAAGCAGGUUGGUCCCGAGAUGGGAGGGGAGCAGCUGGGCACGGUGCCCCUCCCUAUCCUCUUGGCCAGGAAGGUCCCUUCAGUGAAGAAAGGAUACUCCAGCCGGAGAGUCCAGAGCCCCAGCAGCAAGAGCAACGACACCCUGAGUGGCAUCUCUUCCAUUGAGCCCAGCAAGCACUCGGGCUCCUCCCACAGUGUGGCCUCGAUGAUGGCAGUGAACUCAUCCAGCCCCACAGCCGCGUGCUCGGGACUAUGGGAUGCCAGAGGGAUGGAGGAGUCUCUGACCACCAGCGACGGCAAUGCAGAGAGCCUGUACAUGCAAGGCAUGGAGCUGUUUGAGGAAGCUCUGCAGAAGUGGGAGCAGGCACUAAGCGUGGGCCAGCGGGGGGACAGCGGCAGCACCCCCAUGCCCAGGGACGGCCUCCGGAACCCAGAGACUGCAUCAGAGCCACUGUCUGAGCCAGAGUCACAGCGGAAGGAGUUUGCAGAGAAGCUGGAGUCCCUGCUGCACCGUGCCUACCACCUGCAGGAGGAGUUCGGCUCCACCUUCCCCGCAGACAGCAUGCUGCUAGACCUCGAGAGGACCCUCAUGCUGCCCCUGACCGAGGGCUCGCUGCGGCUGCGGGCGGACGAUGAGGACAGCCUGACUUCAGAGGAUUCCUUCUUCUCCGCCACCGAGCUCUUUGAGUCCCUGCAGACUGGAGAUUACCCGAUCCCACUCUCCAGACCCGCCGCUGCCUAUGAGGAGGCCCUGCAGCUGGUGAAGGAGGGGAGAGUGCCUUGCCGGACCCUCAGGUGCCACCUGACCCCCCGGGGCAUCGCUGGGCAGGGACCAGGUUGUGUGACGCCGUCUGUCCUCCCCUCAGGACGGAGCUGCUGGGCUGCUACAGUGACCAGGACUUUCUGGCCAAGCUGCACUGUGUGCGGCAGGCCUUCGAGGGGCUUCUGGAAGACAAGAGUAACCAGCUUUUCUUCGGGAAAGUGGGCCGACAGAUGGUGACAGGCCUGAUGACCAAGGCUGAGAAGGGUUUCACUCCCGCCACCCAGUCUGGAGUGCAAUGUCACGAUCUCCGCUCACCGCAACCUCCACCUCCCGGGUUCAAGCAAUCCUCCCACCUCAACCUCCUGAGUAGCUGGGAUUACAGAGCCCCAAAGGCUUCCUGGAGAGCUACGAGGAGAUGCUGAGCUAUGCCCUGCGGCCCGAGACCUGGGCCACAACACGGCUGGAGCUGGAGGGCCGAGGGGUGGUAUGCAUGAGCUUCUUCGACAUCGUGCUGGACUUCAUCCUCAUGGACGCCUUCGAGGACCUGGAGAACCCUCCGGCCUCGGUGCUCGCCGUCCUGCGGAACCGCUGGCUGUCAGACAGCUUCAAGGAGACGGUGGGUCACUGCCCUGCUCUCAGACCCACACUUGCUCACAUCAGCCCGUGUGGUUGCCUGGCUCCGUCCCCUCUGUCCCUAGCACUGGCACCAGGGCUGGGCCCCCACCCCCUAGAUCCGCGGCUGCCAGGCCUGGGAGACCAGAGUCUGCCCUGGAGAAGCCUCCAGGGUGCCCCGUUGCUGCCUGGUGCCCCAGUUUAGAACCAACAUGGUGUGCGCUUUCUUCCUAUUGUGUGGUUUUACUUUUGUGCUGGUAUGAAUUCGAUUCCAUUUUAAUGCAUCCUGUUAAAUCAAGUUAAAAGAGGGGAAAGCAAAACCAAAAGGAAAAAAAGGCACAGAGUGAGAGACAACCCAGCACAGGACCCCCAGGAAGGCAAGCAGUAACGCUCCAGCAGCCGGGCUGUGCUGCCUGGGCCCAGGCUUCUGCGAGGUGGUUUACAGGCGGGAACCAUUGCUCCCACAACCACCAAAGGAGGUGGGAGUGCUGUGUUGUGCCCCUUUACAGAAGAGGAGACCGAGGCUCAGAGAAGAUCCAGCAGUAAGAUUAGAGUCAAGAUUCAAGUUUAGGUAUGUCUGAGUCCAAAAUCAGAGGAGGAAGCAGCAGAGCUUAGGCACCUGGCCCCAUCUUCCUGCUUGGAGUGGGGCCUUGGCCACUGCUUGCUGGUCGGUCCUGAAAGCCAAGAGGAGGCUGCUGAUGGUGCCUGAUGGCUUCAUCUCCCAUUUCUACUCCGUAUCGGAGCAUGUGAGCCCUGUCCUAGCCUUCGGCUUCCUUGGACCCAAGCCUCAGCUUGCUGAAGUCUGUGCUUUCUUCAAGCACCAGAUUGUGCAGUACCUGAGGGACAUGUUCGACCUGGACAAUGUGCGCUACACGUCACUGCCCGCGCUGGCAGACGACAUCCUGCAGCUGUCCCGGCGCCGCAGCGAGAUAUUGCUGGGGUACCUGGGGGUGCCCGCGGCCAGCAGCGCAGGCGUGAAUGGGGCGCUGCCCCGAGAGAAUGGGCCCCUGGGGGAGCUGCAGUAGAGGCGGCACGGGCUGGGGGGUGGCAGAGAGAAGGCUCCUCCUCCCUUCCCUGGGUUGGUAUCUGACAGCUGUGGUGGCUGAGGGCCGUUGCCCCUGACUUUGCCCCACCCCCAUCAUCUGGGAGUCCCCAAGGCCCAGAGGGGACAUUUCCAUGGAGAAGAACGGUUCCUGGGGGAAGCAGAGGCCAGGACCAGUGGGGCCUGUGGGAGAGAAAGGCUGUGAGAGAGGGGGUUGUUGUGGAGAAUUGGGACAGGCAGAGCCAGGAUGCCCCAGGUGGGGGACCCCAAAACCUCCCAUCGCUCCAGGGCUGCUGACAAGGGUGCUGGGAGGGUGGAGGUGAAGGAUGGGGCCUAGAGCCCUGUGGUGAAGGUCACAGUGUCCUGAGCUAGAAGCCACCUGUGGCUAUAUGGUCUCAGCAUCCAGCUGGCCUGUCCUGAUGCCCUCCCCACCUCAACCGCCUUCUCAGAGAGUUUGCAACUCCAGAGAAGGAGAGUGGGGCCACCUUAGUGGGCAGCAGGCCUGGGCCAUCCAGAGAUGGGGCAGAGGUGGGCCUCCCACUCCUGUGCUCUCUUCUGAGCAGGAACUGGGCCCUUGACAGUGUCCUUUGACAUUCCCUCGCCCUACCAAAGAUCGUCUUUUCUCCUCCCACCUCUGUCACCACCAAAGACGGGCGGAGGUGGGGCUGGGCCCUCCUGCCCCCGCCCAUCCCCCUUCCAUGAGCCCAGACCUCCCUGGGUGGUGCUAGGCUCUGAGCUGGGGGCUCAGACCAGGGAUCGCUCAGGCCCCUGUCACCUGUGGGCCCGGGGACCACUUGGGGGAGGUCAGAGGAUGUAUGUGGCCGGACCAGCUUCCCCACCUUCAUUAGGACAAGAAACUGCCCAGCACUUUGCCUUCAGUUCAACGCACAAACGCUCCUGGGGCCUCAUGGGGGCAGAGCCUCCCCUGGGCCUGCAGAGAGUCCUGUUAGCAGCGACGUCCCCCCGCCGCGGGGUCCUGUCAGCCCGGCAGUGUCUUCUCAGUGUCUUCACCUGAGCGAGUGUCUGUGGCCCCAACGCGUUCUGCUGUGGCUCUGCCCUUUCCAGGUUGAGAGGCCUGCAGGAGAAACACACUCCCCUCCUGGGUUUCCACACUCAGGAGGUCAGAGGACUGGCUCCUGUGACCAGGGCCCCUCUCCCCUGAAUGGGAAAGGGGUCUGGGGAUGGGAGGGCGCACCACAGAGAGGAGAUGAUGCUGGGUGUGGCCCAUCUUCUGUGGGCCCCUUCCCAGACACCGGAUCCAUGGGCACUAACCCGCCUCCCAGGCUGAUGCCCGGAGGCAGCUUCCUGGGCAGGAGGGUUCCAUGGGCACUAACCCACCUCCCAGGCUGAUGCCUGGAGGCAGCCUCCAGGGCAGGAAGGACCCUGUGCUCCCCGCCCCCCAUCCUGACAUCCUGUUCUUUUGCACUUACCCUGUGCUGUGAAUGUAACAGUGGGCCUUGGCCCCGCCCACUCUGAUUUGCAUUUUCAUUUGUGUUUGUUUACACAUCCAUGCACUGCCUGUAGCAGUCGAUUGUCACAGCUUCGACUUUUGGAUGGUAGAGUGUGUGCACUGACUGUGAGUCGAAUAAACAAUUGAGACGAUUUCCUUCCA